UCCGAGUUGACCCCGGCAGUCUCCCAUGAGUUCCCACCAUUACGUGCUGGCAACAUAGAACGAGGGUUGCGCUCGUUGCGGGACUUAACCCAACAUCUCACGACACGAGCUGACGACAACCAUGCACCACCUGUAUACCGACCUUGCGGGGAGACUAUUUCUAGCCUUUUCCGGUGCAUGUCAAGCCCUGGUAAGGUUCUUCGCGUCGCAUCGAAUUAAACCACAUGCUCCGCUGCUUGUGCGGGCCCCCGUCAAUUCCUUUGAGUUUUAGCCUUGCGGCCGUACUCCCCAGGCGGGGUGCUUAAUGCGUUAGCUGCGGCACGGGAGGAGUCGACACCUCCCACACCUAGCACCCAUCGUUUACGGCGUGGACUAC
rnacentral:misc_RNA from 1 species